UCCAGAGACUGCAAGCGUUAUUCGGAUUCACUGGGCGUAAAGGGUGCGCAGGCGGCCGAGUGUGUUAGAUGUGAAAUCCCGGGGCUCAACCCCGGAACUGCGUCUAAAACUACUUGGCUAGAGUAUUGGAGAGGGUAGCGGAAUUCACGGUGUAGCAGUGAAAUGCGUAGAUAUCGUGAGGAACACCAGAGGCGAAGGCGGCUACCUGGACAAUUACUGACGCUCAGGCACGAAAGCGUGGGGAGCAAAAGGG
rnacentral:rRNA from 1 species